UACGUAGGGUGCGAGCGUUGUCCGGAAUUAUUGGGCGUAAAGGGCUCGUAGGCGGUUUGUCGCGUCGGGAGUGAAAACCUUGGGCUUAACUCAGGGCUUGCUUUCGAUACGGGCAGACUAGAGGUAUGCAGGGGAGAACGGAAUUCCUGGUGUAGCGGUGAAAUGCGCAGAUAUCAGGAGGAACGCCGGUGGCGAAGGCGGUUCUCUGGGCAUGAUCUGACGCUGAGGAGCGAAAGUGUGGGGAGCGAACAGG
rnacentral:rRNA from 1 species